GUCAAAGAUGGAGUCCGGAGCUGGGAGGCCGUGAGGUUGCCAAUGGACGAAAUACCGCUUUUUAAGCGAGAAGCCGUUACGCCUCGCGAAUAGUUACAGCGGUGGAAACGGACGCAUGUGUGGGAGAUAGACGGUAAAAGCCAGGACGUGUUUUCCCUCGCUAAAGUGGGCAACUGGGCCGUUGUAUUUGUUCUGUGUGUGGAGCCGCACGGACCGGCCCUGCCUCCGCCAGGUAGCGCUCAGCAGAACAUCUGACGGCGGGAGGACCGCGCUCUGCUGUGCGCUGAGGCGUCGGGACGCUCGUGGGCAUACAUGGGUAUCGAAGGGUCUGACUGCCCGCGAAGAGGGUCCAGGAGCCCUCGUAGCUUAAAACGGGCCGCUGGAGGUCCCCAGUCCGCAGUUUGGGAACCAUUGCCGGAUCCCAGAAGCCCCUAUGACAGGAAGAGUCUGUGGCUUUUCGAACAAGCUGCAUUAUUAGGCUGUAUUUCACCCUGGGAGAUACAGGCCUCCUGGACCACGCCUCCUACAAAAAGAACAUUUUGUUCACAGAACUUCAGAGGCUGUCUUGGUUUGCAUCGCAGACCACGUGUCAGAUGGAGUAACAGGCUUUCAGGUCAACCAUUGGGACGUCUUCAUGCUCCACGCUGGCCCACAUUGUAACAUCAUCUCCAUGCUGGAUAACGUUUACCUUCAAUUCUCCGGCUGGACACGAGGCGUUUUACAUUCUUUGAUUUGAUUAUGAUCCCACAUCCAUUAUAAUCAGGGAUCAAAGAGCUACACAUGAACACCAUUUAGUUAUUUCUUUAUUUAACAUACAUUGUGAUGACAUAAGUUUGAUAUAAGUUACAUGUAAAUAAGACUAAAGUUGCAUUUAAAUAGUUGUCAUUUUGAGAAUUGGAAAGGGAUUAAAAAUAAACAAAACUGUUCUAAAAAUAA